rnacentral:rRNA from 1 species
GUCUACAGCCAUGCAUCCCUGAACACGCCUGAUCUUGUCUGAUCUUGGAAGCUAAGCAGGAUCGGACUUGGUUAGUACUUGGAUGGGAGACCACCUAGGAAGAUCAGGUGCUGGAGGCG